rnacentral:misc_RNA from 1 species
CUUUUUCCUCUCUCCACCUCCUUUUGCUUUCUGGGCCGGGUCGGGUUUCCUCUUUUGGGCCUUCCUUUGAUCCGCUUCCAUUUUCGGAGGCGUAGGCAUCUCCUCUGGUUCCUCAGAUGGUUGAGUUUCAUCUUCAUCACCUCGUUGGGCAGGCUCGGGUUUCCUCUUCUGGGUCUUUUUUUGACCCGAUUCCUUUUUCGGAGGUGAUGGCAUCUCUUCUGGCUCAUCAGCUGGUUGCGUUUCAUCUUCAUCUACUUGUUGGGCCGGGUCGG